AGAGUUUGAUUCUGGCUCAGAUUGAACGCUGGCGGCAUGCUUAACACAUGCAAGUCGAACGGUAACGGGAGUGUGCUUGCACACUUGCCGACGAGUGGCGGACGGGUGAGUAACGCGUAAGAAUUUGCCUGUGUAGUGGGGGAUAGCCCGGGGAAACUCGGAUUAAUACCGCAUACGCCUUACGAGGGAAAGCUGGGGACUUCUUCGGAAGCCUGGCGCUAUCAGAUAAGCUUGCGUCUGAUUAGCUAGUUGGUAGGGUAACAGCCUACCAAGGCGACGAUCAGUAGCUGGUCUGAGAGGACGAUCAGCCACACUGGGACUGAGACACGGCCCAGACUCCUACGGGAGGCAGCAGUGAGGAAUAUUGGACAAUGGGCGAAAGCCUGAUCCAGCAAUGCCGCGUGUGUGAAGAAGGCCUACGGGUUGUAAAGCACUUUCAGUAGCGAAGAAAAUCUUUAUGUGAAUAGCAUAAAGCCUUGACGUUAACUACAGAGGAAGCACCGGCUAAUUCCGUGCCAGCAGCCGCGGUAAUACGGAAGGUGCGAGCGUUAAUCGGAAUUACUGGGCGUAAAGCGCAUGCAGGCGGUUUGAUAAGUCGGAUGUGAAAUCCCCGGGCUUAACCUGGGAACUGCAUUCGAUACUGUCAGACUAGAGUGCAGAAGAGGAAAGUGGAAUUCUGAAUGUAGCGGUGAAAUGCGUAGAUAUUUGGAGGAACACCGGGGGCGAAGGCGGCUUUCUGGUCUGUAACUGACGCUGAAAUGCGAAAGCGUGGGUAGCAAACAGGAUUAGAUACCCUGGUAGUCCAUGCCGUAAACGAUGUCAACUAGUUGUUCGAAUUUAUCAUAAUGGUUUGAGUAGCGCAGCUAACGCUUUAAGUUGACCGCCUGGGGAGUACGGCCGCAAGGCUGAAACUCAAAGGAAUUGACGGGGGCCCGCACAAGCGGUGGAGCAUGUGGUUUAAUUCGAUGCAACGCGAAGAACCUUACCUGGCCUUGACAUCUCUGGAACUUUGCGAAACCAGAGGGUGCCCUUCGGGGAAUGUCAAGACAGGUGCUGCAUGGCUGUCGUCAGCUC
rnacentral:rRNA from 1 species